rnacentral:rRNA from 1 species
GACGAACGCUGGCGGCGUGCUUAACACAUGCAAGUCGAACGGAAAGGCCCUGCUUUUGUGGGGUGCUCGAGUGGCGAACGGGUGAGUAACACGUGAGUAACCUGCCCUUGACUUUGGGAUAACUUCAGGAAACUGGGGCUAAUACCGGAUAGGAGCUCCUGCUGCAUGGUGGGGGUUGGAAAGUUUCGGCGGUUGGGGAUGGACUCGCGGCUUAUCAGCUUGUUGGUGGGGUAGUGGCUUACCAAGGCUUUGACGGGUAGCCGGCCUGAGAGGGUGACCGGGCACAUUGGGACUGAGAGACGGCCCAGACGCCUACGGGAGGCAGCAGUGGGGAAUAUUGCACAAUGGGCGGGAGCCUGAUGCAGCAACGCCGCGUGCGGGAUGACGGCCUUCGGGUUGUAAACCGCUUUCGCCUGUGACGAAGCGUGAGUGACGGUAAUGGGUAAAGAAGCACCGGCUAACUACGUG